rnacentral:rRNA from 1 species
UCCGGGGCCGCUGCAGAGUUUGUUCCUGGUUCAGGUUGUUCGUUAGCGUGCGGGCCUAUAUAUCAUGCUAAGUGUCGGACGGUGGGGCAACCCAUAGUGGCGGUCGGGUGCGUAUACUGCGUACGUAUGACCUACCCUUGAGGUGGGGGUUAGCAUUUCGAAAGGUGUGGUAAUCCCGCAUGUUACAUCUUUCGUCGCAUGAGAGAGAUGUUAAAGCAGCAAUGCGCCAAAGGUUGGGUGUGCGUCUGAUUAGCUAGUUGGUAAGGUAACGGCUUACCAAGGCGACGUUCAGUAACUGGUCUGAGAGGUUGUUCAGUCACACUGGCACUGAGACACGGGCCAGACUCCUACGGGAGGCAGCAGUAGGGAAUAUUGGGCAAUGGGCGAUAGCUGACCCAGCCACGCCGCGUGAAGGAAGCUAGGUCCACAGGAUUGUAAACUUCUUUUCUCCGAGAAUAAAGCGCUAAAGGUUAGGGCUUGAAUGGUAUCGGAGGAAUAAGCGCCGGCUAACUACGUGCCAGCAGCCGCGGUAAAUACGUAGGGCGCAACGUUUGUCCGGAUUUUACUGGGUUUAAUGGGUGCGUAGGCGGC